rnacentral:rRNA from 1 species
AAAUCUAACUUUUUAAAGAAGCUGCCUCUUCCUUUUUAGAAUUUAUUGAUUUAAAAAUAAUUAAUUCCUUUUGCAUAAGGAGAGAAAAACUGGAGUAAAUACUAAAGUUCCGAAAGCUUUUGGGCAAGAACAAGUUAAAUUGAAAAUGGCAUCUUUCUUUGUUCUAGUAGAAAUAAUCUUUCCGAAGAAGCCAAUAUCUGAUGAACCCCCGAAUUUAAAAAGGAAAGCCUUUUAAAGAAAAGUUUAAUAGAGAUAAAUUAUAAAAAACUGCUAAAAGUCUUUAAACCUUUUCAUAAAAAUACCUCAACUCUCACCAAACAAACUUGGACCUCAGAUGAUAAUAAACAAAAAUUUUCUUACUAGUAUAAUAAAUCUUCACUUUCCAAAUUAAAUUAAAACUUAUUUAAAAUUACCUCUAAAGAACUAAAAGAAAGUCCUUUUGAAUGUUUAACAAAAGCUUUUCUAUUUAAUUAAAUAGAAGUCCCUGCCAAUUGUAGAAUACAAAAGGCCGAAGGAUAUUUACUUCGCGAAGGUAGCGUAAUAAUUUGGCUAUUUAUUGUAGUCCAGAAUGAGUGGGUAAACAAAAGGGCUCUUUUCGAUGGGUAAAAAUAGAACCUAACCUUUCCUUGAAAAUCAGGAAAGACAUUUUUUAGACGAAAAGACCUUAGGAUCUUAUACCUUAUAGGGUUUUAUUGGGGCAAUACUCCUAAUAGAAAGAAUAUUAUUUAGAAGACUGUUCUCACAAACAAAAAGAUACCCUAGGGAUAACAGGGCAAUUUUCUAUGAGAGACCAAAUCAAAUAGGAAGAUUACUACCUCGAUGUUGGCUUUCCUAUUUCUUUUAGGAGAAGAAAAUUAGAAGAAAAAGUCUGUUCGACUUUAAAAAGGAACAUGAGCUGAGUUCAAGUCGGCGAAAGCCAGACUGGGUUUUAUCUAAAAAUGAUAAAAGAGAGAAUCCAGUACGAAAGGACAAGUUCUCCUCUCUAAGAGAAAAGACAAAUCUUGAAUUAAAGUUUAUUAAAAAUGAGUCAUGA